CUGAACUUAAGCAUAU
rnacentral:ncRNA from 2 species